rnacentral:rRNA from 1 species
GAUGAACGCUGGCGGCGUGCCUAAUACAUGCAAGUCGAGCGAACGGACGAGAAGCUUGCUUCUCCGAUGUUAGCGGCGGACGGGUGAGUAACACGUGGAUAACCUACCUAUAAGACUGGGAUAACUUCGGGAAACCGGAGCUAAUACCGGAUAAUAUUUUGAACCGCAUGGUUCAAAAGUGAAAGACGGUCUUGCUGUCACUUAUAGAUGGAUCCGCGCUGCAUUAGCUAGUUGGUAAGGUAACGGCUUACCAAGGCAACGAUGCAUAGCCGACCUGAGAGGGUGAUCGGCCACACUGGAACUGAGACACGGUCCAGACUCCUACGGGAGGCAGCAGUAGGGAAUCCUCCGCAAUGGGCGAAAGCCUGACGGAGCAACGCCGCGUGAGUGAUGAAGGUCUUCGGAUCGUAAAACUCUGUUAUUAGGGAAGAACAUAUGUGUAAGUAACUGUGCACAUCUUGACGGUACCUAAUCAGAAAGCCACGGCUAACUACGUG